rnacentral:lncRNA from 1 species
CCGCCCGGCGCGCGCUCGCUAGCCCGCUGUCCCUCGCGCCCCCUCCGCGACCGCCCUUGAAGGACCCGGACCCCCUCGGCACACCCGAGGUGGCGGCGCGCUCGGCGGUGCCGGUGCCGGCGCCGCGCGCACCCCCUUUCUGCGGCGGUGGGGUGUCUUCCCGGCUCGGCUCCCUAGCCGACGCCGCACCGCAAGCACAUGCUGCUUUGUUUGGGUUGGGUCGACCACCACUAGCAGGGCUAGGGCGCACUGUCGUGGUCGUUUUGGUUGGCCCCCUCCGCGGCCCGCCCACCUCUCUCCCUGGGAGCCCAGGCCCGCGUUCCGGGUCCUCUCCCGCCGAGGCCGAGGUCAGAAGUCCACAGGGGCCCCGAUCAAUAAUUAUCCUGGGUUUGCCCCCGGGAGGGCGUCUCAGCCAGGGCUCCUGCCGCCUGCAUGGGCACGGCAGGAAUUCACAUUCGCCCAGGCCGAAUUCACCUGUCCGAGUUCCAGGGUGAACCUACGGGGGACGGGGCGCCUGGGGCCGGUUCCCUUCCUGGGAAAAUCUGGCUGGCUCCCACCAGUCAGAGCUGCGGGAGGGACUGCUCUCUCUAGAGAAGAAAGAAUAAACAGGGUCAUCUGUAGGAUCCAGGGGAAGGGGGUCCCCCAGAUCCUUUCCACGUGCUGAGGAGGGGGUUGCGGUUGUGGGAAGCCAGGCUGAGUCACCCACUCUCCUUUCCUCUGCUACGUCUAUCUCCCGGAGCUGGCCAGCGGUUUCCCUGGCAACCCUCCAAGGGCUAGCACUAAAGCAAGACAUAGGAAAGCUCCAGAAGCCAAGCUGCAGGGGCCAAAAGAGAGAGAAGGACCCCUCCCGCCCCCACUCAGACACACAGAGCUCCCCUGUGUGUAUGCAAAACGUUCAUGUCCAGAGAUGGCCCAGAGCUGCAAGUUCUCCCAUAGUCCUCCCUGGGCAGCUCUUUCCAGCGGCCUUCUCUUCACCUCCAGAAUGACACCAGCCACAAAGGUCUCCAGCUGGUCAAAAAACCCUUCUCCGCUACCCAGGCCACUGCUGCAGUCCCAUACUCUGGGCCAACACCUGGCACAGUGCUUUGCACAGAGUAGGUUCAGGGAGCUUGGAGGCCAGAGAAGGAAGCAGGAAGCAGGAUGGAUGCGCCAACCAACCCCGAGCUCUCUGGCAAUC